rnacentral:rRNA from 1 species
AGAGUUUGAUCAUGGCUCAGAUUGAACGCUGGCGGCAGGCCUAACACAUGCAAGUCGAACGGUAACAGGAAGAAGCUUGCUUCUUUGCUGACGAGUGGCGGACGGGUGAGUAAUGUCUGGGAAACUGCCUGAUGGAGGGGGAUAACUACUGGAAACGGUAGCUAAUACCGCAUAACGUCGCAAGACCAAAGAGGGGGACCUUCGGGCCUCUUGCCAUCGGAUGUGCCCAGAUGGGAUUAGCUAGUAGGUGGGGUAACGGCUCACCUAGGCGACGAUCCCUAGCUGGUCUGAGAGGAUGACCAGCCACACUGGAACUGAGACACGGUCCAGACUCCUACGGGAGGCAGCAGUGGGGAAUAUUGCACAAUGGGCGCAAGCCUGAUGCAGCCAUGCCGCGUGUAUGAAGAAGGCCUUCGGGUUGUAAAGUACUUUCAGCGGGUAGGAAGGGAGUAAAGUUAAUACCUUUGCUCAUUGACGUUACCCGCAGAAGAAGCACCGGCUAACUCCGUGCCAGCAGCCGCGGUAAUACGGAGGGUACAAGCGUUAAUCGGAAUUACUGGGCGUAAAGCGCACGCAGGCGGUUUGUUAAGUCAGAUGUGAAAUCCCCGGGCUCAACCUGGGAACUGCAUCUGAUACUGGCAAGCUUGAGUCUCGUAGAGGGGGGUAGAAUUCCAGGUGUAGCGGUGAAAUGCGUAGAGAUCUGGAGGAAUACCGGUGGCGAAGGCGGCCCCCUGGACGAAGACUGACGCUCAGGUGCGAAAGCGUGGGGAGCAAACAGGAUUAGAUACCCUGGUAGUCCACGCCGUAAACGAUGUCGACUUGGAGGUUGUGCCCUUGAGGCGUGGCUUCCGGAGCUAACGCGUUAAGUCGACCGCCUGGGGAGUACGGCCGCAAGGUUAAAACUCAAAUGAAUUGACGGGGGCCCGCACAAGCGGUGGAGCAUGUGGUUUAAUUCGAUGCAACGCGAAGAACCUUACCUGGUCUUGACAUCCACAGAACUUUCCAGAGAUGGAUUGGUGCCUUCGGGAACUGUGAGACAGGUGCUGCAUGGCUGUCGUCAGCUCGUGUUGUGAGAUGUUGGGUUAAGUCCCGCAACGAGCGCAACCCUUAUCUUUUGUUGCCAGCGGUCCGGCCGGGAACUCAAAGGAGACUGCCAGUGAUAAACUGGAGGAAGGUGGGGAUGACGUCAAGUCAUCAUGGCCCUUACGACCAGGGCUACACACGUGCUACAAUGGCGCAUACAAAGAGAAGCGACCUCGCGAGAGCAAGCGGACCUCAUAAAGUGCGUCGUAGUCCGGAUUGGAGUCUGCAACUCGACUCCAUGAAGUCGGAAUCGCUAGUAAUCGUGGAUCAGAAUGCCACGGUGAAUACGUUCCCGGGCCUUGUACACACCGCCCGUCACACCAUGGGAGUGGGUUGCAAAAGAAGUAGGUAGCUUAACCUUCGGGAGGGCGCUUACCACUUUGUGAUUCAUGACUGGGGUGAAGUCGGAACAAGGUAACCGUAGGGGAACCUGCGGUUG